rnacentral:rRNA from 1 species
UACGGAGGGGGCUAGCGUUGUUCGGAAUUACUGGGCGUAAAGCGCACGUAGGCGGAUCAGCAAGUUAGGGGUGAAAUCCCGGGGCUCAACCCCGGAACUGCCUUUAAGACUGUUGGUCUGGAGUCCGAUAGAGGUGAGUGGAAUUCCGAGUGUAGAGGUGAAAUUCGUAGAUAUGUGGAGGAACACCAGUGGCGAAGGCGACUCUCUGGUCGGUAACUGACGCUGAGGCGCGAAAGCGUGGGGAGCAAACAGG